rnacentral:misc_RNA from 1 species
UUCUCCUCCACCUCAUCUUCAAGAGCUUAGUUUAUGUGGUGGCCUAUUUGAAAUACCUAAUUGGCUUGCCUCCAUUGAAAACCUUACGAGUCUAGAAUUAAGUUAUUCUAAUCUCUUGGAGAAUCCAUCUUCAAUUCUUCAGUUUCUUCCUAAAUUAAAACGUCUCUUUUUAAGUAAAGCCCACAAGGCAAAGAUAAUUGGUAAAGAGUUUUGCGAGGCAGGUGGAUAUUCGCAAGAAACGUUGUCCAUUAUAUCAAGGGAUCUAGUGGAGUGGACUGAGAUUGUAA